GAUAGAAUGGUUUUAACAACUUCCAGGAGCAGUGAGAAACCCCGUUCAAACCCUAACCACACUUCUCACCCAAUUUGUUAAAUUUGAGCCCCUCGCCGCGUGCCGGACCGCACCCAAUGCAAAGCUUCUUCUUCUGCGCUACAUAUUUGUAACACUUCAGGUAUACUCUUUGCUUCCUCUUUUAGACAUUUCUCACAAGUAUAGCAACCAUCGUUAGUUCGCUUUUGGAUUUUAUUUACUCAGAAUGCUAGAAAAAUGAUUAAGUUACUCUGUGUCGGAUGGGGGCAGCGUAAUUUUUAAAAUAAGUGUCUCGUAGAGGAGGGGACUGUAAUUUUCUGUGACUUUCUUUUUGAAUAAUUUUGUACAAUGUUUGCGUUAUAAUUUUGAUAGUCAUUCACCACCUAUUGAGUGUUUCAUAGGGUUGUUUCAGUUUUGAAUUUGAG
rnacentral:lncRNA from 1 species